rnacentral:rRNA from 1 species
UACGUAGGGGGGCCAGCGUUGUCCGGAAUCAUUGGGCGUAAAGCGCGCGUAGGCGGCCAGAUAAGUCCGGUGUGAAAGUCAAAGGCUCAACCUUUGAAUGCCGCUGGAAACUGCCUGGCUUGAGUCCGGAAGGGGCGAGUGGAAUUCCUGGUGUAGCGGUGAAAUGCGCAGAUAUCAGGAGGAACACCAGCGGCGAAGGCGGCGCUCUGGGCCGGAACUGACGCUGAGGAGCGAAAGCGUGGGUAGCAAACAGG